rnacentral:rRNA from 1 species
CAUUCACGGAGAGUUUGAUCCUGGCUCAGGACGAACGCUGGCGGCGUGCUUAACACAUGCAAGUCGAACGGUGAAG